UUACCGGUUUGAACUGAGCAGAGUCCCUUCGGCGGAGGUGCUGCAUGGCUGUCGUCAGCUCGUGUCGUGAGAUGUUGGGUUAAGUCCCGCAACGAGCGCAACCCUGCCAUAGUUGCCAUCGUAUGGGACUCUAUGGGACUGCCGGUUUAACCGGAGGAAGGUGGGGAUGACGUCAAGUCCUCAUGGCCCUUAUGCCGGGCUACACACGUGCAACAAUGGGGUACAUGGGGCAUCGCGAGGGGAGCAAUCUCAAAACCAUCUCAGUUCGGAUUGUAGUCUGCAACUCGACUACAUGAAGUAGGAAUCGCUAGUAAUCGCGAUCAGCACGCGCGGUGAAUACGUUCCCGGGCCUUGUACACACCGCCCGUCACGCCAUGGGAGUCAGUGUCCGAA
rnacentral:rRNA from 1 species